GACGAACGCUGGCGGCGUGCUUAACACAUGCAAGUCGAACGGAAAGGCCCUGCUUGCAGGGUACUCGAGUGGCGAACGGGUGAGUAACACGUGGGUGAUCUGCCCUGCACUUCGGGAUAAGCCUGGGAAACUGGGUCUAAUACCGGAUAGGAGCCAUUUUUAGUGUGAUGGUUGGAAAGUUUUUUCGGUGUAGGAUGAGCUCGCGGCCUAUCAGCUUGUUGGUGGGGUAAUGGCCUACCAAGGCGGCGACGGGUAGCCGGCCUGAGAGGGUGGACGGCCACAUUGGGACUGAGAUACGGCCCAGACUCCUACGAGAGGCAGCAGUGGGGAAGAUUGCACAAUGGGCGCAAGCCUGAUGCAGCGACGCCGCGUGGGGGAUGACGGCCUUCGGGUUGUAAACUCCUUUCGCUAGGGACGAAGCUUUUUGUGACGGUACCUAGAGAAGAAGCACCGGCUAACUACGUG
rnacentral:rRNA from 1 species